UCUGGGAAGGAAGACACAGAAGAGACAACUUGAGGUCAGCAAGCUAACCGAAGGCUAUGUGGAAGGUGAUCCUUCGUUGGCCCCAGGAUGUUCGGUUACAGUACACGGCUAAGAAUGGAGACACCUGCUACUGACCAGAAAUUCUCUGACUCAAUCUGCUUUACAAAUAAAAUCCUCUUGGUCAAAAUAUUCCAUUUAUCUAACACUUUCCAGCUUACAAGAUUCUCAGUGCUACCACCACCCCAGUUUUGCAGGUGAGGAAAUCAAAACUCAGAGUAGAGCUCAAGGUAACCUUGUGAUCCUGAACAAGGAGUCUCUUAAGAGUCAUCGAACUAUGGCCCAACAGUCAAAUCUAGCCCACCCUAUACUUUUAUAAAUAAAAUUUUAUUGGCAUACGACC